GACAAUACAUUAUCUUCUCAACAAAAAAGUAUGUGUAUUUUGCUUCUAAAAAUAACUGGUAUCUAAACUUUAAAACAAUGUAAGUCAUAAUGGAUUAAGGUGGGAAGGCAGCUUGAUUUAGCAGAAUGGAAACAAUAUGUAUUAGAGUUCAAUUCUUGAAAACUCUUCCAGAUUUAAUACAUCUUAAUGUCCUCAAUGACCUGCUCCCAGACCGAUUUUCAGAAAAUCAUUCACAGGAUCCUGACAUAGUUGAAGAAGUGUUUUGGAAUCACUGAAUUGAAAUGUCCCCUCUAACUC
rnacentral:lncRNA from 1 species